GUGCACCGUCAAGUGACUGGACUUCCUUUUUGGUGGCCUUCCAGUCUCAUUCCGGUGCCAGAGCGACCUCAGUUUGCAGAAGGGUUGGGCUCAAUUAUUGGCUCCCCCCUUUCGAAGGCUGAGCACACAA
ensembl:snoRNA small nucleolar RNA SNORA35